UAAUCUAAUCUAAGGGAGGGUAACAGGAGGAAUGGUUCAUAGCGAUGGAGUGACUUUGACAUUGCGGCCGUACUUGUAUAGUAUCUUGGAGGAUCGUCAUCUGAUGCACACAAAAGCAAUUUUUUCCACACAAUCUCUGGAAAAGCAUCUGUAAAAUGAUCGAAUUUAGUCCAACAAUAAAAAGCGAGGAGCGAGGAGCCAUGAUUAAAUUAUUUUAUCCCAUUCAUGUGUGCUGGGAGCCAACAACAGGGAGCGAGCUGACUCAGCCGCUCUCGGACAGUUUUAGGGGAGGGAUUGUGCUGCAGGAAGCUGCACAAACCAAACCUGCAAAGAGAACACCGGGCUUUGGAAGCCACUUAGCGAAGUGGCCAAGCUGUGUGUAAUGACAGCAAUGGCGACGUCAAGCAAUGCACAAGGACUUUUCCCCAGAAGCUUCCCCAGAAAUGACUUUUCACGAUCAGAAUUUGAUUUAUUCAGUCUGCUAACAUUUGGUUUAGAAAAGACCAAACAAUUAAAUCAUUUUAUCGCAA